UGCCAUGAGUGAAAGAAGUGAUGGACUUUUCAUCCCCACCAGUCAUGGUUAUUUUCACACCGUCACGCUUCAGUUCUUUCCUGUCUUUGGCUGCCGUCAAAAAUUCUGAAUCAGAAAUUCCUAGUUUUUCUAAAUCUUCACACCCAGGCCCACUAGCCGAAACCUCAGUCUUCGUCACGGGGCCGUCUUUGGUAUAUGUUACCACUGUGCGCACUGACUUGGUGCACUGCUUGACGGUGGAGGUGGAGGUGGAGGUGGAGGUGGAAGAGGAGGAGGCAUGUGAUGUAGAGGAGGAAGUUGAGCCCGUACCUGAUGUGGGGAACUUGCUAACAGUUGCGGCAGAUUCGGCAGUGGACCCUUCUGCUUCCAGAGUAAGCUGCAUCUGACCCACGUCUCCGAAGAGGAGCUGCUUCUGCUCAGCUUUACCCGUUCCACUUUUAAAUAUGGAGGGUAACACCACGUCCUUCAACGGCCUGCUCUUCAUGAUUC